CGUAGCAAAGCAAUUAUCCGCUUCGCACUGUGCUAUGUACCCAACGUUUGCCAUGGGUACAAUAACUGAUACACCAGACUUGCAUCCUUUCCGGUCAACCUCUCCUACUUACUCAAAAGUUGUUGAUCCUUUUCCAUUGUAUCCCUUCCAAUAUAUCCAAGAAUUAAUUUGGAAUAAACGUUACACAAUUAUAUUAGAGGGAUUAAAUCUCUAAAUACGUGUAUGCAUGGAAGAUGAUAUUAUGUACCUAUUUGUGAAUACAAUAUCCAAAGCAAUUUUUUUGAACUCCUUCAAUUAACUUAACAUUAAUUUCUUUGAACAAAUUACCAAAUAUCCCUUAUCCGAUCAAUGCUCGCCACAUGUCACGAUUAGAAGUGGUGAAGUGACAUGUGUCAAUAUUAAAAACAAAAAUAUAUGACUACCUCAAAUUCAAACGAAAAAUCUACGUACGGAAGAAGAAGAAAAAAUGAAUGGAGGAAGAUAAAUGAAAGAUAAAAGGAAAAGGUAGUGGAUGAGAAUAGAUAAGGUCCUAUCUUCAAUCUAAUGCUACUUGUGGUUGUACUUCAACAUUUGCUUCACAUUCUUUCAAUUUUUAUCUCCUUCAAUUAUCAAUUUGGUGGUCGAACUUUUUAGUUAUUAUCACUAUGGACCAUAUGUGUUUCUGCAACAGUAUGGCCUAAUUCUCCUUAUGUGGGGGGAAUAUAGAUGAGUUUUGAAUUAAAAAAUAAUAUUUGUCGGCAUUAUAAAAUUAUUUACUCAUUCGAUGUAUCCAACGAGUUAAUUAUUUUUCAAAAGUUAUCGAUUCAUAUCUACCGUUUAGAAAGA
rnacentral:lncRNA from 1 species